rnacentral:tRNA from 2 species
GGAGAGGUGUCCGAGUGGUCGAUGGUGCAACAUUGGAAAUGUUGUAUACCGCAAGGUAUCGCGAGUUCGAAUCUCGCCCUCUCCG